rnacentral:lncRNA from 1 species
AUUGUUCUAUUUUUCUUUCGCUUUGUUUGUUCUCUAUAUUAUUUUUUUCGAUUGUUGUGAUGGUGUUUUUUUACUAUUCCUGUUUAAAAUUAUUUGACUAUAAGUUCUGCAAUUUAUAUGUUCUAAUUAAUUUUGUAAGUUGCUGCUUCACUUGAUUUUGUACUACUGCAGUCGCAUAUUUUUGGGAAAGCCGGUUAGUAACAUUUUAAAACCAACUUUUCCUAUUAGUCCUAUUUCAUUCUUUCCUUCAUUCUUUACUGACUAUUGCCUUUUCUUUUAGCCAACUCUGCAAGCCUUUCUUCGACUUCUACAACUCUAAAUUUCAUUGUAUUUAUGGUCGUUGCUGCUACUGUUGCAUUAACUGCUUACACUUUUAUUUGUUUGUUACUCAAAAUUUUUUAAUUCUUCUUAUGUAUUUACUAUUUCGUCUUGCUUUAGCUUUUUCUAUAGGAUCUCAAAUAUUUCUUCAGUUUAACUAUGCAUCAAAUUUUAUUUUCUUAUAGUUCUUUUUUUUUUUUAACUCUUUAUUUGUUCUCUAUGUUGGAAGUAUGAUAUAUUAUUUACAUUGUAAGGAAGAUAAUCAAAUAUUAUAAUUUAAAGAGAAGAAAGAAUAAAAUUUAGUACAAAAACUAAAGUUAAAUAUCGAAUAUUACCUAUCCGCCGCAUCGCGCGGGUCACUACACUAGUUUAGAUGAAAAGUAAUUGGCCAAUUUGCAUAAAAAAUUCACUAGUUUUGGGCUUUUGCAAAAGUGGGGCCACCUUUUUCGUUUUUGCAUAUUCGGUCCGAUUUUUUAGCAAACUGACCAAAAUGCCCCUCGUAUACAGACGUCUUCCGCGUAUACGUAUACCCGCCGUACGGUCCUGGCGGGCAUUAAAUGCGCCCCUUGCGCUUUACGCAACCUCACCCCUUUUUCAGAACCCGGACCAAAGUGGCCCUGCUAUUCGCCGGCCCCGGUGUUUACUGUUCGGCUUUAACAAUUUAAAUAAGUUGAAGCUAAAAGACAAAGACUACACCCCCUGCGACAGGAAUAAUAGUGCAACAC